UGCCUUACACAUGCAAGUCGAACGCGAAAGGGGGCAACCCUGAGUAGAGUGGCGAACGGGUGAGUAAUGCAUCGGGACGUGUCCUGUAGCGGGGGACAACCCCGAGAAAUCGGGGCUAAUACCGCAUACGUCCUACGGGAGAAAGUGGGGACCGCAAGGCCUCACACUAUAGGGGCGGCCGAUGCCGGAUUAGCUAGUUGGUGAGGUAAAAGCUCACCGAGGCGACGAUCCGUAGCUGGUCUGAGAGGAUGAUCAGCCACACUGGGACUGAGACACGGCCCAGACUCCUACGGGAGGCAGCAGUGGGGAAUUUUGGACAAUGGGCGCAAGCCUGAUCCAGCCAUGCCGCGUGAGUGAAGAAGGCCUUCGGGUUGUAAAGCUC
rnacentral:rRNA from 1 species